rnacentral:lncRNA from 1 species
GAAUCAAAAAAUUCAACUUUAUAUAUAACUAAAAUAGUACAAAGGUGUAGAUUAAAAUUACACCACUCCAGGCCCUUUUGUUUUCCACGUAAUUAAUAUUGCCAAUAAUUAAGAAGUUCCGGGUCGAGUCCGAUACCGAUACCAAUAGUAUAUUCACCUGUUACCGAUUACCUUAUCUGUACGUUCCGCAUCUGACAGGCGCA